rnacentral:tRNA from 1 species
AAGGGAGACCUAAUUCCGGUAGGAGACGAAAAAAAAGUAGUCCCUACCAAGAAUCAAUCCCAAAAGGUCGGAGCGAGGCAAAAUUGGCUUUCAAACUAGGUUCUGGGUUCACACAAGACCUGAAUCAGGAACAAGGGCUAUUAGCUCAGGUGGUUAGAGCGCACCCCUGAUAAGGGUGAGGUCCCUGGUUCGAGUCCAGGAUGGCCCACCUGCACAGGUGGCAAAAACAAAGAAAAAAAGCUCCGAAUCAGCACCUUAUCUUACUUAUAUAGUAAGAGAGAAUGCUGGCUCUGAGUACAGAGUCCAGAGGAACCUUGAAAACUGCAUAGAGCUAGGUGAAAAAGCCAAAAAAGAAGACCGCAA